rnacentral:rRNA from 1 species
UACGUAGGGGGCAAGCGUUGUCCGGAUUUAUUGGGCGUAAAGAGCGUGUAGGCGGCCAUGCAGGUCCGCUGUGAAAACUCGAGGCUCAACUUCGAGCUGUCGGUGGAAACUGUCUGGCUAGAGUCCGGAAGAGGAGAAUGGAAUUCCUGGUGUAGCGGUGAAAUGCGCAGAUAUCAGGAAGAACACCCGUGGCGAAGGCGGUUCUCUGGGACGGUACUGACGCUGAGACGCGAAAGCGUGGGGAGCGAACAGG